UUCUUGGAAAGUCCCCGCGGCUUGAAUGAUGACAUAUUGAGGAUGUAAAAUAUCACGUGACACUCAAAAAAGUGUUCAUAAAUCUGAGCGAAUCCACGAGAAAGACACAUACGUACCUUGUUUGACUAGAUUCUCUAUCGUCAAGGAUCAAAGUAUUUUCAUACCAGACAAACAUGACUCAAAGAAUGCUCUCUGUUGCAUUUGUCCUGGGAUUGUUGGGUCAAGUUGUUUCUGAAGAUGUAGACACCGUGCUUGCAUCUUUAAAUCAGCAAUGUAAAUCUGAUUUUGUAAAUUGUCGAGUGGUAGCAAAAAAUAAUUACAAUCAAACAAAAAAUUGUGAUGCCAUUAGAUACACAGGACACAAUUUUAUUUUUGUGCAUUGUAUGCUUGGAAACAGUUACUGUACCCUGAGUGAGUACUUCAGAGUUAGAAAUGCUGCUUGUGGAACAAAUUCAACAACUGCUCUAGAUAGUACCGAAAACUUUGGGAUCGCUCUUGUAUCAACUAGUAGACAAUGUCGAUCCAGUUUUGGACAUUGUGUAGGCAACAACGCGGCGGUUAUUAGUUUGGUCACGUCUACGAACUAUUGUGAAGGAGUGCAAUAUUCAAGUUCCGGUUUCUCUGUACAGUCGUGCAGCGUAGUAGACAGUGGCUGUACCCAGAGCGAGUACGACAGGCUGAGACAAGCUGUUUGUGGGGCGACUUCUCUUUCUGUUGGAGCUUUAUCUCUAGUGUUAUCUUCCCUUGUUUUGCUA